rnacentral:lncRNA from 1 species
GCCUAGACUUGCGGUGAAUAUUAUUUUCUUUUGAUAUACAUAUAUAUAUUGAUAAAAUACCAAAAAAAAAAAUGAAAAGACCUAAUGCAGAAGUUCUGAAGAAAGUGAUAAUGAAAUGAAUGAAGCCAUUUGCUUAUGCAUAUCCUUGGUUUAAAACCACUUCUUUAUUUAAUUUUUCAGCAUUCUUCUCUCAAUGCUCAUUCUUGAGCAUCUGUACAAAAGAAUGAUUGCUACCAAUCUUAUCUUUGAAUUCUUCACAUAAUAAAGUGGUAUUUCUCAUUUGAAGUGCUGAUGCUGUGUCUUUGUGGUCACACAAUUCCGGAAGUGUUAACAGACUAAGUCAAAGGGAGACAAGUCAUCUGAUAUUUUUGUGGAUGUCAGUGAUUUGGAAAUAUUUAAAACAAUCUAAUAUAAACACACGAAAUAGCCAAUUAGAUUUUAAUUAUUCAUUGUUUUCCUUCAUUUAUUUCAUAUCAUAAUUAAUUCGAAAACGAGUGUGAUCUUAAAAAUCUGGAUUAACUGACAAUCAAACUAUAGUCCUAAGAUCUAUUCAUUAAUU